GGGUAAGUGAUGUAAUUGGCUAAACAUAUCACUUUUGCAAAGUGAAAUUUAGGGUUCAAGUCCCUCUUGCUCCA
rnacentral:tRNA from 1 species